rnacentral:lncRNA from 1 species
GUCUCUGUGGUGACGAGCAGGGCUUCAUCCAGUGCCUCUGUCCCCACCGAGGGGACUAUGGGAGACAUGGAGGGUGUGUGAGCAACAGGUGAGACUGGAGCCAGCUGAAAACUGGGAGACCGACCCAGCCAACAAACAAUGUCGGUCUCUGUCUUGGCACCUGCAGGAAACAAGCUCCUACUUCCAGAAAAAGUGCUCCUGGGACUCCAGGAUACCAGGCAUCUGGGUAAGCUACAAUGCUUAACCACUUAACACAAUCAGGAAGCAACAGCCAUGCAUUCGGGAAAGGAACUUCAGUGUUGUGUGGCUCACCUCCCUGUUACCCUGUUGCCAUGACAGCCCUGAUAAAAUAACUGGGAAAGUUCUCUUUCUUAUUGUAAGUCCAAAAAAAAAAAAAAAAA